rnacentral:rRNA from 1 species
AGUUAAAAAGCUCGUAGUUGGAUUUCUGUGGGGACGGGGCGGCCGGUCGCAACUUGCGACUCGAGCUAGCACUUUCCCCACAUCCUGCCGCGAACCGUGCUACCAUUAGUUUGGUGGCGCUGGGGAUCGGCUCGAUUACUUUGAGAAAAAUAGAGUGUUCAAAGCAGGCCACACGCCUUGAAUAAGUUAGCAUGGAAUAAUGACUAAGGACUUUGGUUCUUUUCGUUGGUGUUCGGGACUGAAGUAAUGAUUGAUAGGGACUGUUGGGGCGGUCUGUAUUCCAAAGCGAGAGGUGAAAUUCUUAGACCUUCGGAAGACAAACAGCCGCGAAAGCGUUCCGCAAGGAUGUUCCCUUUGAUCAAGAACGAAAGUUGGGGGAUCGAAGACGAUCAGAUACCGUCGUAGUCUCAACUAUAAACUAUACCAGCUAGGGAUCGGCCAACGUUUAAUUAUUCGACUUGGUCGGCACCUUAUGAGAAAUCAAAGCAUCUGGGUUCCGGGGGGAGUAUGGUCGCAAGGCUGAAACUUAAAGGAAUUGACGGAAGGGCACCACCAGCCGUGGAGCCUGUGGCUUAAUUUGACUCAACACGGGAAAACUUACCAGGUCCAGACAUAGUAAGGAUUGACAGAUUGAUAGCUCUUUCUUGAUUCUGUGGGUGGUGGUGCAUGGCCGUUCUUAGUUGGUGGAGUGAU